rnacentral:rRNA from 1 species
ACGCUGGCGGCAGGCCUAACACAUGCAAGUCGAGCGGUAGAGAGAAGCUUGCUUCUCUUGAGAGCGGCGGACGGGUGAGUAAUGCCUAGGAAUCUGCCUGGUAGUGGGGGAUAACGUUCGGAAACGGACGCUAAUACCGCAUACGUCCUACGGGAGAAAGCAGGGGACCUUCGGGCCCUUGCGCUAUCAGAUGGGCCUAGGUCGGAUUAGCUAGUUGGUGAGGUAAUGGCUCACCAAGGCGACGAUCCGUAACUGGUCUGAGAGGAUGAUCAGUCACACUGGAACUGAGACACGGUCCAGACUCCUACGGGAGGCAGCAGUGGGGAAUAUUGGACAAUGGGCGAAAGCCUGAUCCAGCCAUGCCGCGUGUGUGAAGAAGGUCUUCGGAUUGUAAAGCACUUUAAGUUGGGAGGAAGGGCAGUUACCUAAUACGUGAUUGUUUUGACGUUACCGACAGAAUAAGCACCGGCUAACUCUGUGCCAGCAGCCGCGGUAAUACAGAGGGUGCAAGCGUUAAUCGGAAUUACUGGGCGUAAAGCGCGCGUAGGUGGUUUGUUAAGUUGGAUGUGAAAUCCCCGGGCUCAACCUGGGAACUGCAUUCAAAACUGACUGACUAGAGUAUGGUAGAGGGUGGUGGAAUUUCCUGUGUAGCGGUGAAAUGCGUAGAUAUAGGAAGGAACACCAGUGGCGAAGGCGACCACCUGGACUGAUACUGACACUGAGGUGCGAAAGCGUGGGGAGCAAAC